GAUCUGUGUACAUUCAGGUGAUGACAAAUGCCAGCGGACAUCUACUGUUGUGUAAGAAACUGCUUCCCACUGGAUCCAUAACGUGUUCACCCUGAAGAAAGAAAAGGUGUUGAUACAGGAGUCAUUUAGAAACCGGACAGAGUUUUUCAUCUACAACGGGACACUUAAAAUCUCUAAUGUGGAGGAAAAGGAUUUCGGCCAAUACAACAUUGAGAUCUUUAAUUCAAAUGGGGUCCUCCUGAGACACGUUAAAGUUAUUCUGGCUGUUCAAAAAAACUUUUUGCCCAUCUUGAUCGGAGCCAGCUCUGCAGUCGGUGUUCUGCUCAUUGGGGUGAUACUUUGCUGUGUGUGUCGGAGAGCACGGCACAAAAAGAAGGAGGGUAAAAAAAUACUCAAGUAUAUACCUGAGGAGAGCUCUUUCAGAGUAGUUCAGGAUUAGUCGGGCUCAGAUGAACACCGUCAUCAACAAUGGACACAGAUGACCAAGAGAAAAAACAGCAAACAGGAUUUAAUAAUAACUCACAUUGGAGCUGAAAUGUCUCGGAAGUUUCUUUCUGUAUCUUACAUGAGUGUGGUGCACUUUAAUGUCAAUCUAAAUCAAUCAGCAGUAGUAGUUUUACCCUUGUUUUCUUUUGAGCUUAGUUUAUAUUGUUCAGUAAUCAUAUCCCUUUUUAUUUGUCGUUCAUUCUUCCCUCUUGUGUUGAUUCACUUCCUGCCUUUGAUAAUAUGUAACCCAGCCUUAUUGUUUACACCGUGUCUGAUAACCAUAUAUAUAUUUAAUUGUACGUUCAAAAAGUCCAAAUGACCUCCUAUGUCCUUUCCAAACCACCUUUCCUUUCUUGAUGGAAAAUUUCCUGUGGUCAAGAAAAGGUGUAGGCUAUAUAAGGAAUUAAGAAGCGACAACCCUGGCAUUAGGAGAGUCCGUCUGCUCUUACAUUAGACAGAUGGUACUAAUGUCAUGUGAGACUGCCGUAUUAAAAACUACAAUCUACCACAGAUUGACUACAAAAAGGACAGAGCGUUCUUAUGUUGUUUCAAGCAGCUACAUAAAUGAGGAAACUCAGUGAUAAAUACUUUACUCAGGUUUUUACAGGUUAAGAAGAAGCUCCCCAGGAAGAGGCAGCUUUUAGCCGCUGUGACAUGAAUGAUUUUAUUUGUGUUAUUUUCAAAAUAAGCAUAUAAUUGGCCAUUCUAUAGAAUUGUAUUUUAGCAGGUGUCUUCUAAUAGUCUAUGAAUAUUAUUGUAGUCUACACUGGCUUUGUCUUACUAUCAGCUUGUGAUUAAUGUUUGAAGGACAAUAAACUGCAAAUAAAACACUUAA